rnacentral:rRNA from 1 species
GACAGAGGGUGCAAACGUUGCUCGGAAUUACUGGGCGUAAAGGGCGCGUAGGCGGCCCGCUAAGUCGAACGUGAAAUCCCCGAGCUCAACUCGGGAACUGCGUCCGAUACUGGUGGGCUUGAAUCCGGGAGAGGGAUGCGGAAUUCCAGGUGUAGCGGUGAAAUGCGUAGAUAUCUGGAGGAACACCGGUGGCGAAGGCGGGUUGCUGGGCCGACACUGACGCUGAUGCGCGAAAGCCAGGGGAGCGAACGGG